UACUUGAUCCUUCGGGUGAAGGUGGCGGACGGGUGAGUAACGCGUAAAGAACUUGCCUUACAGACUGGGACAACAUUUGGAAACGAAUGCUAAUACCGGAUAUUAUGAUUGGGUCGCAUGAUCUGGUUAUGAAAGCUAUAUGCGCUGUGAGAGAGCUUUGCGUCCCAUUAGUUAGUUGGUGAGGUAACGGCUCACCAAGACGAUGAUGGGUAGCCGGCCUGAGAGGGUGAACGGCCACAAGGGGACUGAGACACGGCCCUUACUCCUACGGGAGGCAGCAGUGGGGAAUAUUGGACAAUGGACCAAAAGUCUGAUCCAGCAAUUCUGUGUGCACGAAGAAGUUUUUCGGAAUGUAAAGUGCUUUCAGUUGGGAAGAAGUCAGUGACGGUACCAACAGAAGAAGCGACGGCUAAAUACGUGCCAGCAGCCGCGGUAAUACGUAUGUCGCAAGCGUUAUCCGGAUUUAUUGGGCGUAAAGCGCGUCUAGGCGGCUUAGUAAGUCUGAUGUGAAAAUGCGGGGCUCAACCCCGUAUUGCGUUGGAAACUGCUAAACUAGAGUACUGGAGAGGUAGGCGGAACUACAAGUGUAGAGGUGAAAUUCGUAGAUAUUUGUAGGAAUGCCGAUGGGG
rnacentral:rRNA from 1 species